rnacentral:RNase_P_RNA from 1 species
UGAGUAAACCGGGCAGUCGCGAGAGUAAAUGUUGCUUUCGAGGAAAGUCCGAGCUCCGUAGGGCAGGGUGCUGGGUAACGCCCAGUGGGGGUGACCCUAAGGAAAGUGCCACAGAAAGAAACCGCCCCUUCUGGAGGUUAGAGGUAAGAAGUUGGAGAAGAAAGCCUGCCUUUUUGGCUUUUCGGCUCAAAUAAAAGGCAGUAUCCGACUUCCAACUUCCAGGAGGGGUAAGGAUGCAACGGUGCGGUAAGAGCGCACCAGGGGCCGGGCGACCGGCCUGCUAGGUAAACCCCACCCGGAGCAAGACUGAAUAGGAGGGAGAUGAUGUUGCCCGCUGAAUCCCUCGGGUAUGAGUCGCUGGAGGCGCCAGGCAACUGGAGCCCUAGAUAGAUGGCUGCCACUCUCUUUAAGGAGUACAGAACUCGGCUUACAGGUUUGCUCAUGCA